CAAACGGCCCUUUUCAGGGCCACCAAUUGUGUUGAAAAGAACUUAU
rfam:Anopheles gambiae str. PEST chromosome 2L, whole genome shotgun sequence.